rfam:Poecilia formosa, whole genome shotgun sequence.
GGUGAGUUAGCUCAGCAGGUUAGAGCACAGUGCUGGAAACACUGAGGUCAUCGGUUCAAACCCCAUAUGCAACA